GAUGGUUCAACUCCUUCCCCUACUA
rnacentral:tRNA from 4 species